CUGUGAGCCGCAAGACUCGAUGGCACCUGACAACACCAACAGAUGUCUGCGAGCAGACAAUCUUAGUCUGACAAGUUUGGGCCGCUGUGACUGCUUCCAAGGAGCCCUGGUGGUGCAGUGGUGAAGUGCUCGGCUGCUAACUGAGAGGUUGGUGAUUGGAACCCACCAGCUGCUCAGCGGGAAAAAGAUGUGGCAGUCUGCUUCCGUAAAGAUUUACAGCCUUGGAAACCCCAUGGGGCCAUUCUGCUCUGUCCUAUAGGGUUGCUAUGAGUUGGACUUGACUCGACAGCAAUGGAUUUGGUGACUGCUUCCAGCUGUAGAAUAGCUUAAACCAUUGUUUCACAAACUUACCUGAUCAAAAAAUUCACCUGAGUGCUUGUUAAAAAUACUGAUUCCUAUAUCCAAUCCUGGAGAAGUGAUUCAGUAGAUCUGGCGUGAGACCCAAGAAUCUGUAUCUUUUUAAAAAAAAUACCCUCUGUUAUGCCAAGGAAGCCUUCCUUCUAGCACGGGGUUCUCAUCAUGUCCUCACUUUUGUUUCAGCUGGGAAAUCGUCCCCAGCAAAUUCCAAAGCUGCUGUGCCGGUUCCUAAAGCUUGUACCCCCAGGACUCAAAGCGUUAGUGGGGACCAGCACCUUUGCCAGGUGUUCCUUGAGACAGUUUCUGCUGCUUUUUAAUGUCCCAGGUUUCUCAGACAUGUUCCCACAGGGCACAGGAAAUUCCAGCAUGCCCGUCUACAGCCACCAAGCUGUCAGGAAUGCUCCAAGUAUUUUCUACGCCUGAGUCUGUGGACAAGCCAAGUGCAUUCAAGUGUUCUUCAACAUCCAUCCAGUUGGAGGUCUUCAGACUUCAGAAUUAUACUCCCUUCCAAAACGGCAGGUUUCACCACACCCUUCAGGGGCAGAGCUGGACUCCUGUGCCACUUAUGGCCAGGAAGAGAACAACUGAAAGGCUAGACUCUGGCUGACCGGCUGCUGAGUAGCCUGAGGCUGAUUAGUGCCUGCUGGUUUAUUCUACACAGAUUUGCCAAUCAGUGGAUCAUUCGCCCACCCUAAGUGAGUUAUUCAGCCACGAAAAGGAAUGAAGUCCUGAUACACGCUACAACAUGGAUGAACCUUGAGAAGACUGUGCUGAGUGAAAGAAGCAGCCACAAAAGGCCACAUAUUACGUGCUUCCAUUUAUAUGCAGUGUCUAAAAUAGGCAACUCUAUAGACAACGUAGAUUAGUGGCUGCCUAGGUUUGGGGGUGGUGAGGAGAUGGGGGGUGGUAGCUAAAGGGUACAGCGUUUCUCUGUGCAGUGAUGAAGAUGGUCUAAAAUUGAUCAUGGUGAUGAAUGCACAACUGUGAAUAUACUAAAAUCCACUGAAUUGUUCACGUAAAAAUCCCCCUAGCAUCCCUAACCAUCUAGCGUUAGGGUCCAGGAUGUCACCAGAUUGGAAACAAGCAGAAGCUGGGAUUAAAAAAGUGAGCAAUGGAAGGAACUAGACCAAACGGAGUGGGAGCAAGUCAGGAUGAUGCUAGCAACCAGGCUACAUAGAGGACAAGGGAAGCCAACUGGGUUACGACCGAAAGUAAACAGAAUAUGAUACUAACAGCUGACACUCACUGUGUACUUCCUACGUGCCGGGUUUAUGUGGGUUAUCUCAUGUAACCUUCACAGGAAGCCCAUGAGGAAAUUAGGACAUAAGGAGAUUAAGUAACUUGCCCCUGGCCACUCAGCUAGUGAAGGGCAGGGUCAGGACUUAAACCCGGGAAGCUUGACUCUAAAAUCUCCAGCCUUAACCACUACGUUACACUGGUCGAGGGUGGAAGGAAUCCAGGUAUCCUGAGGACACAUACCAGGUUCGGUAGAAUGGAAGAAGUGACGAGAUUAUGGCCAGGGAUGGGCAUUUAAAUUUAAGAUCUUGUGGAUUGAGCAGAUUCCAUAUUCAAGGACUGUGGGUGGCAAGAGGUCAACAAGGCUGAGAAAAUGUGAGGCCAGGCUGUCCAAAAGUCAUGAACGGGGAUAUGGAGGUGAUCACGGACGAUGGUAGCUGGAGAGAAAGGAUGGAAUAAGUUCCUGACACGCCACGUUGCUAAUAGUCAGGGAUAGUUGGUGACAAAGUCGAGUGAAAAGUAGCAAUAAAUUGUUGAAUCUUGUGGCUUGGCUCAUCAUCUGCUUUUAGCAUUGGAAAUCAAGCUAUUAAAUUCCCAAGCAGUCACUUGUUAUGAGAAUACAUAUAGUAUAACACUUUUAUUCCU